rnacentral:rRNA from 1 species
UACGUAGGGGGCAAGCGUUGUCCGGAAUUAUUGGGCGUAAAGCGCGUGUAGGCGGCUUUGCAAGUCGGGUGUGAAAGCCCUCAGCUUAACUGAGGAAGUGCGCCCGAAACUGCAGAGCUUGAGUACCGGAGAGGAUGGCGGAAUUCCCCAAGUAGAGGUGAAAUUCGUAGAUAUGGGGAGGAACACCGGUGGCGAAGGCGGCCAUCUGGACGGAUGCUGACGCUGAGACGCGAAAGCGUGGGUAGCAAACAGG